UGCAUUUGUAUACACAUGUGUGUGCAUGCAUAUGUGUGUGUAACAAUGACAGUUAAAUA
ensembl:miRNA